UAAGGGCAAUUUAGAGAGACCAAUUAACCUAACAGUCAUGUUUUCAGACUGUGGGAGGAAGCCGGAGUACCCGGUGAGAACCCACGCAUGCACAGAGAGAACAUGCAAAAUCCAUGCAGAAAGCUGACAAGUCCAACCUAGGACCUUCUUGCUGCAACGCAACAGUGCAACGAACUAACUCAUUAUGCACAGUGAAACAAGUCCUGUACCACCUUGGGCUGAAAGGCUACUCAUUGAGGAAGAACCGCUCAAUUCGAAACAACAAAAAAAGACAUGAUUUUCAAAUGCAUUCUGGGAGAAAAAAACAUGUCCUGUGGUCUGGUAAAACUAAAACUCAAGUAUUUGGCCUAAUAGACCAGUUUUACAUUUGGAGGAUACAUGGUAAGACUUGCAAGCUGUUGAACACCAUUCCAACUGUGAAGUACGUGUAUGCCAGCAUCAUGCUGUAAAUGGUGUUUUGGAGCAGAAGUGACUGGUGCACUUCACAAAAUAGAUGGGUAGGAAAGAAAAAUACAUGAAAAUAUGUAAGCAACAUCUAAGGAAAUCAUCCAGGAAGUUAAGGUGUGGGGACAAAUUCAUAUUCCAAAUGAACACUGUCCAUAAGCAUACCACCAAAUUGAUUACAAAGUGCCUGAAGCAAAUCAAAGUCUAAAGUGUGGUGUCCAUCACAAAUCCAUGAUUAUAGUUCCAUUGAGAAUUUGAAUGACAAUAAGGUGCGUGUGAACAAGACAGUCAAAAAAUGUGGCUCAGUUACACCGGUUGUAAUGAGGAAUGGGCCAAAAUUCCUGCAAACUAUUGGGAAAAGCAUUUGGAAAGAUGCCUAAAUGUUUGACCGAAGUCAUCCAGUUUAAAAAGUAAUUCCAUAAAACACUUGGGAAAAGGGGAAAAGCUUUUGAUUCAAUAUAAAGUUAAAUAUAUUUUGAAAAACUGAAUAUCUGUUGGGGCUUGGGAGUUUGGGUUUCCUUCCCUUGUUUAACCACCAGAUGUCGCCGCGGAGCUGGAGGGGUAGACCCGGUGACAGGUUUUUUCAGAUCUGCUGCUGAUGGUGCCUGCCUGACAAGGAAUAUUUAGGAGCCCGCCGCCAGUCCUUCGUUGCCUGAGUUUUGUGCCAACGUGUGAUUCUACCUGUGAGGUGUGGGGGGAUCAAAGGCUACCCCGGACAGGAAACCUAAAACCUACAAGACAGACAAUUCAGUCCUCUGGUUAUCCGAAACCUGACUGGCGGUUGGGCUCCCGAUCACAACAACCCUGUGGUGGUCAGUAAGACUGUCAACCUUUGGAAGAAACACAAUCUGCCCUAUUACUGGACAUCUCCCGGGCUCCUGCUCCCAAGGCCCCGAUUUAGGAAGUGCCCCCCUGCUCCAAACAUCCCUGGCAACAAAAGUUACCGAGAAGCUAGGUGAACCCGCCAGCAAGACCUGAACGAUGUUCUCUGCGCACCCCUGAACGCGGCCAGAUAAAUAAACCUGUUAAACUGUU